UACGGGGGGGGGUAAGCGUUGUUCGGAAUUACUGGGCGUAAAGGGCUCGUAGGCGGCCAACUAAGUCGGACGUGAAAUCCCUCAGCUUAACUGGGGAACUGCGUCCGAUACUGGAUGGCUUGGAUUCGGGAGAGGAAUGCGGAAUUCCAGGUGUAGCGGUGAAAUGCGUAGAUAUCUGGAGGAACACCGGUGGCGAAGGCGGCAUUCUGGACCGACAUUGACGCUGAGGAGCGAAAGCCAGGGGAGCAAAGCGGGG
rnacentral:rRNA from 1 species